ACCGGCGCACGGGUGAGUAACACGUAUCCAACCUGCCGUCUACUCUUGGACAGCCUUCUGAAAGGAAAGAUUAAUACAAGAUGGCAUCAUGAGUCCGCAUGUUCACAUGAUUAAAGGUAUUCCGGUAGACGAUGGGGAUGCGUUCCAUUAGAUAGUAGGCGGGGUAACGGCCCACCUAGUCUUCGAUGGAUAGGGGUUCUGAGAGGAAGGUCCCCCACAUUGGAACUGAGACACGGUCCAAACUCCUACGGGAGGCAGCAUG
rnacentral:rRNA from 1 species